rnacentral:rRNA from 1 species
UGCCAGCCGCCGCGGUAAUACGGAGGGUGCAAGCGUUAUUCGGAAUUAUUGGGCGUAAAGGGCGCGUAGGCGGUCUUGUCAGUCAGAUGUGAAAGCCCGGGGCUCAACCCUGGAAGUGCAUUUGAAACAGCAAGACUUGAAUACUGGAGAGGAAAGCGGAAUUCCUGGUGUAGAGGUGAAAUUCGUAGAUAUCAGGAGGAACACCGAUGGCGAAGGCAGCUUUCUGGACCGAUACUGACGCUGAGACGCGAAAGCGUGGGGAGCAAACAGGAUUAGAUA